rnacentral:rRNA from 1 species
CUAUGUCUUCUCUUCCGAACUCGCAUGUCUACAGAAUGUGUAUGCGUCGCGUUGGCGACUGCGAAACCUUUGUACAACUUUCAGCAAUGGAUCUCUUGGCUCUCGCAUCGAUGAAGAACGCAGCGAAUCGCGAUAAGUAAUGUGAAUUGCAGAUUUUCCGUGAAUCAUCGAAUCUUUGAACGCACCUUGCGCUCCUUGGUAUUCCGAGGAGCAUGCCUGUUUGAGUGUCAUCGAAAUAUCGGACCGAAUGACUUCGAUGCUGUCGGAGCUCGGUUUCGGAUGUUGGGAGUGGUGCGGGCGGCAACGUCGGCUCUCCUCAAAAGCAUUAGCUGUGGGCGCGAGCCUCGCAUGGCACGGCCGCUUUGACGUCGUAAUGAUCGUCGUGGGCCUGGAAGUGCGUGGGUUGACGUGUCUCCAUGCUUCGAAACCUUCUGCGAGUCCGUCCGUCGUCCGGACGGUCGCACGUAUCGAUGCUUGACCUCAAAUCAGGUAGGACUACCCGCUGAACUUAAGCAUAUCAAUAAGCGGAGGAAAAGAAACUAACGAGGAUUCCCCUAGUAACUGCGAGUGAAGCGGGAAAAGCUCAAAUUUCGAAUCUGGCGGUCCUCGGCCGUCCGAGUUGUAAUCUAGAGAAGCGUCUUCCGCCCCGGACCGUGUACAAGUCUCCUGGAAGGGAGCAUCGUAGAGGGUGACAAUCCCGUCUCUGACACGGACCCCCCGGGGCUAUGUGAUGCGCUCUCGACGAGUCGAGUUGUUUGGGAAUGCAGCUCAAAUCGGGUGGUAAACUCCAUCUAAAGCUAAAUACUGGCGAGAGACCGAUAGCGAACAAGUACCGUGAGGGAAAAAAUGAAAAGA